GAUGAACGCUAGCGGCAGGCUUAAUACAUGCAAGUCGUGGGGCAGCAUGACUGUAGCAAUACAGUUGAUGGCGACCGGCAAACGGGUGCGGAACACGUACACAACCUUCCUUUAAGUGGGGAAUAGCCCAGGGAAACUUGGAUUAAUACCCCGUAACAUAUAGAAGUGGCAUCACUUUUAUAUUAUAGCUACGGCGCUUAGAGAUGGGUGUGCGGCUGAUUAGGUAGUUGGCGGGGUAACGGCCCACCAAGCCGACGAUCAGUAACUGGUGUGAGAGCACGACCAGUCACACGGGCACUGAGACACGGGCCCGACUCCUACGGGAGGCAGCAGUAAGGAAUAUUGGUCAAUGGACGCAAGUCUGAACCAGCCAUGCCGCGUGGAGGAUGAAGGUCCUCUGGAUUGUAAACUUCUUUUAUCUGGAAAGAAAAAGGACUUUUCUAAGUCAACUGACGGUACCAGAUGAAUAAGCACCGGCUAACUCCGUGCCAGCCGCCGCGGUAAAAC
rnacentral:rRNA from 1 species